GGGCCAUCGCUCAACGGAUAAAAGCUACCCUGGGGAUAACAGGCUUAUCUCCCCCAAGAGUCCACAUCGACGGGGAGGUUUGGCACCUCGAUGUCGGCUCAUCGCAUCCUGGGGCUGAAGUAGGUCCCAAGGGUUGGGCUGUUCGCCCAUUAAAGCGGUACGCGAGCUGGGUUCAGAACGUCGUGAGACAGUUCGGUCCCUAUCUGUCGCGGGCGCAGGAAGUUUGAGGAGAGCUGUCCUUAGUACGAGAGGACCGGGAUGGACGCACCGCUGGUGCACCAGUUGUCACGCCAGUGGCACAGCUGGGUAGCUAUGUGCGGAAGGGAUAAGCGCUGAAAGCAUCUAAGCGUGAAGCCUCCUCCAAGAUGAGACUUCCCACAGCGUUAAGCUGGUAAGACCCCUCAUAGACGAUGAGGUUGAUAGGUUCGGUGUGGAAGCGCGGCAACGCAUGGAGCUGACGAAUACUAAUCGGUCGAGGACUUAUCCAC
rnacentral:ncRNA from 1 species